CUGAGUUCUAAACUCCAAACCUUUGUGAACAUACCAUUGUUGCUUCGGCGGGUUCGUCCCGGGCGCGCCUUCUGGCGUGACCCGGAAUCAGGCGCCCGCCGGGGGAUCUAAACUCUUGUUUUCUAGAGAUUAUCUGAGUGGCAUAAGCAAAUAAAUCA
rnacentral:misc_RNA from 1 species